CAUUGUUGAAGAUUCAACGAAUUUCCCCUUUGACCUCCACAUACUCUAGAGAAGGAUUCCAAAAAGGAUGAUACUUGAAUUUCCCUAAAGCUUCACAUUUUAUGGAACAUGUAGUACAAAGACUGAGAACCACAGCUGCAACCGAGCAUGUGAGUGUUCCCAUCCAUGAGGGCUGCACUGGAAGGAGGAUGAGGAAGAAAUCAAGGAGAUUGUGUGGGAGUUACAGAGGCACUCUUCAGUCCAUCAUUAUUCACUUACUGUUUUUAAGACCACUGAUCACAUUCAAACUCUAAAUACUGGAUUAGAUUGCUUCAGGACUUCCCUCAGGCCUUAAGAAAUUUUUGGGUAUUUUUAAAUCACGACUAAUUACGAGAUGUGAGCUGAUGCACAACAACUCUGUCUUUUUCUGCAGCCAUCUUACUCUUACCCAGUCUUAUUUAUUUAAUGGUGUCUUAAUCCAAGCUAAUCAUGUCCCUAGCAGCAAAUUAUGUUCUAAAUGACAAUGAAUUAUGUUAGGAGGAGAAUAAUCAGGGGAGAGCAAUCCAACCACUCCUAUUUUUUUCAGCAUACCUUAAUCAAAAACGGCAGAGAAGAGGAAGAAGAAAGAAGAAAGAAGAAAGAAGAAAGAAGAAAGAAGAAAGAAGAAAGAAGAAAGAAGAAAGAAGAAAGAAGAAAGAAGAAAGAAGAAAGAAGAAAGAAGAAAGAAGAAAGAAGAAAGAAGAAAGAAGAAAGAAGAAAGAAGAAAGAAGAAAGAAGAAAGAAGAAAGAAGAAAGAAGAAGGAGGAGAAGGAGAAGGAGAAGGAGAAGGAGAAGGAGAAGGAGAAGGAGAAGGAGAAAAGGAGAAGAAGAAGAAGAAGAAGAAGAAGAAGAAAAAGAAGAAGAAGAAGAAGAAGAAGAAGAAGAAGAAGGAGAAGAAGGAGAAGAAGGAGAAGAUAGGAGAAGAAGAAGACGACACAUUGCAGAGAGGAGUGAGGUAUUGCUGAACAUUCCUGGACCUGCAUUAAGCAGGUCAAUUUCUUGGGGAUUCCCCCACAGCAAACUUGGACCUGAAGAACUUGUGCCUGAUGGUUCUGGUGACUGACUGAGUCAGACAGCAUGGUUUAGGAGGCAUCCUCAGAAAAGCCUUUACCUGAUCAAUUCCUCAAGUGGCAGAGAUUAUAUUUUCCCCAGUGCCCCAAAACUGCCUUUCUCUGCUCCACUGCAUCAGUGACAGAUUGUGCCCUUUGUUGUCUGUGCACCUCAGGGUGUUUUCCUUUCCCUCUGUAAAAGCACCUUGAUUUUCUAGUGGAAACUGAAGGAUACUUACAUGUCUGCAUACAUCCAUGAAACUCACAAAUAAUGGAAGACGUCUUUAAAAUGCAUUUGUGUUUCCUCUGCAGAGAAAACUGAGAGGACUGAGUGUCGCAGACAUGUUUUCAUUAAAAUCCUUACUUAGAAUUUUUCCUGCUGGAGCUGAGAAGUUUCAGCAACAAAUGUAAACAAUGGUUAUCUGCUGCUGUGGAAUGCAACAGGUCCACCUGUGACUGGCCCAUCUUGGAUGUUUAUAAUUAAUGGCCAAUCAAGGACGGAGCUAUCUCGGACAGAGUUCGGGAGAGCUCCUUUGUUUUCUUUUCUAUUCUAUUCUUAGCUAGCCUUCUGAGAACUUUCCUUCCUUUUCCUUUUAGUAUAGUUAUAAUGUAGUAUAUAUAUCAUAAAAUAAUAAAUGAAGCCUUCUGAUCA
rnacentral:lncRNA from 1 species